rnacentral:rRNA from 1 species
UGGUGCCAGCAACCGCGGUAAUUCCAGCUCCAAUAGCGUAUAUUAAAGUGUUGCAGUUAAAAAGCUCGUAGUUGAAUUUCGGGACUAAUAUGUCGGUCGUGCCUCGGUACGUACUGGUAUUUUGGUUUCUCCCUUCUGACGAACCUUGAUGUCAUUAAUUUGGUGUCUCGGGAAAUCAGGACUGUUACUUUGAAAAAUUAGAGUGUUUAAAGCAGGCUCACGCUUGAAUACAUUAGCACGGAAUAAUGAAAUAGGACGUUUGAUUCUAUUUUGUUGGUUUCUAGGAUCGACGUAAUGAUUAAUAGGGAUAGUUGGGGGGCAUUAGUAUUCAAUUGUCAGAGGUGAAAUUCUUGGAUUUAUUGAAGACUAACUACUGCGAAAGCAUUUGCCAAGGAUGUUUUCAUUAAUCAAGAACGAAAGUUAGGGGGAUCGAAGACGAUCAGAUACCGUCGUAGUCUUAACCAUAAACUAUGCCGACUAGGGAUCGGAUGAUGUUAAUUUUUUAAUGACUCAUUCGGCGCCUUACG